rnacentral:rRNA from 1 species
CAGUCGCCGCGGUAAUACGAAGGGGGCUAGCGUUGCUCGGAAUGACUGGGCGUAAAGGGCGCGUAGGCGGCGGCCAAAGUCAGACGUGAAAUUCCUGGGCUCAACCUGGGGGCUGCGUUUGAUACUUGGUUGCUUGAGUGGGGAAGAGGGUCGUGGAAUUCCCAGUGUAGAGGUGAAAUUCGUAGAUAUUGGGAAGAACACCGGUGGCGAAGGCGGCGACCUGGUCCUUGACUGACGCUGAGGCGCGAAAGCGUGGGGAGCAAACAGGAUUAGAUACCCGCGUAGUCCCUGUCUCUUAUAC